GAGGGUACAGCUCAGUGGUGGAGCGCAUGCCCAGCAUGUAUGAGGGCCUGGGUUCAAUCCCCAGUUACUUCG
rnacentral:tRNA from 1 species